AGGUCAUAAGCUACAGACCACGAUACGCUGGCGUAUCUGUGGGCGGAUAGCUUCAUGACCUGCCCCACUAUGAGCAUAAAAGAGAAGCGUUAGCUUCGCGAUAUGCGAAUGGGGGGAGAAGCGUGGGAGUGCGCAGCACGGAGCGCUUCGUUG
rnacentral:sRNA from 1 species